AUUGAACGCUGGCGGCAUGCCUUACACAUGCAAGUCGAACGGCAGCACGGGGCAACCUGGUGGCGAGUGGCGAACGGGUGAGUAAUGCAUCGGAACGUGCCAUUGAGUGGGGGAUAACGUAGCGAAAGUUGCGCUAAUACCGCAUAUUCUGUGAGCAGGAAAGCAGGGGACCGCAAGGCCUUGCGCUCUUUGAGCGGCCGAUGUCAGAUUAGCUAGUUGGUGAGGUAACGGCUUACCAAGGCGACGAUCUGUAGCGGGUCUGAGAGGAUGAUCCGCCACACUGGAACUGAGACACGGUCCAGACUCCUACGGGAGGCAGCAGUGGGGAAUUUUGGACAAUGGGCGCAAGCCUGAUCCAGCCGUGCCGCGUGAGUGAAGAAGGCCUCGG
rnacentral:rRNA from 1 species